rnacentral:rRNA from 1 species
CACGUAGGGUGCGAGCGUUGUCCGGAAUUAUUGGGCGUAAAGAGCUCGUAGGCGGUGUGUCGCGUCGGCCGUGAAAACCUGCAGCUUAACUGUGGCUUGCGGUCGAUACGGGCAUCACUGGAGUUCGGCAGGGAGACUGGAAUUCCUGGUGAUGAGCGGUGGAAUGCGCAGAUAUCAGGAGGAACACCGGUGGCGAAGGCGGGUCUCUGGGCGAGUAAACUGACGU